rnacentral:rRNA from 1 species
CCUACGGGUGGCAGCAGUGAGGAAUAUUGGUCAAUGGGCGCGAGCCUGAACCAGCCAAGUCGCGUGAAGGAUGAAUGUCCUACGGGUUGUAACCUUCUUUUAUAAAGGAAUAAAGUGAGGCAGGUGUGCCUUUUUGUAUGUACUUUAUGAAUAAGGAUCGGCUAACUCCGUGCCAGCAGCCGCGGUAAUACGGAGGAUCAGAGCGUUAUCCGGAUUUGUUGGGUGUAAAGGGAGCGUAGAUGGGUUGUUAAGUCAGGUGUGAAAGUUUGCGGCUCAACCGUAAAAUUGCAAUUGAUACUGGCAGUCUUGAGUACAGUUGAGGUAGGCGGAAGGCGUGGUGUAGCGGUGAAAUGCGUAGAUAUCAGGAAGAACUCCGAUUGCGAAGGCAGCUUACUAGACUGCCACUGACAUUGAUGCUCGAAAGUGUGGGUAGCAAACAGGAUUAGAUACCCUUGUAGUC